UAAUAAGUGUUUUAUGGCUCUUUUUAAAUCCAUAUCCACCUUGUGUGCAAUGUCAGUCGAUCUUCUUCAUGGAGAUCGACCAAACAUCAACCUUUAUCUUUUAACUCUUUGUCUGAAAAAUAUUAUGAAUAAACAAUUCAAAAUA
rnacentral:misc_RNA from 1 species